UGUCUCAAAGAUUAAGCCAUGCAUGUCUCAGUACAAGCUGAAAUAAAGUGAAACCGCGAAUGGCUCAUUACAACAGCCGUUGUUCCCUAGAGACUACGAUACUUGGAUAACUGUGGCAAUUCUAGAGCUAAUACACGCCCUAAAGCCCCGACCUUGCGGAAGGGGUGCAUUUAUUAGAACAAAACCAAUCGGGGCAACCCGUCAGUUGGUGAAUCUGAAUAACCCGGCCGAUCGCACGGUCUUUGCACCGGCGACGCAUCUUUCAAGUGUCUGCCUUAUCAACUUUCGAUGGUAGUUUAUGUGACUACCAUGGUUAUAACGGGUAACGGAGAAUAAGGGUUCGACUCCGGAGAGGGAGCCUGAGAAACGGCUACCACAUCCAAGGAAGGCAGCAGGCGCGCAAAUUACCCACUCUCAGCACGAGAAGGUAGUGACGAAAAAUAACGAGGCGGUUCUCUUUGAGGCCCGCUAUCGGAAUGAGAACAACACAAAUCCUUUAACGAGGAUCUAGCGGAGGGCAAGUCUGGUGCCAGCAGCCGCGGUAAUUCCAGCUCCGCCAGUGUAUAUCUAUGCUGCUGCGGUUAAAAAGCUCGUAGUUGGAUCUGCGUGCAAGGAACCGGUCCGUCCAACGGGCGAGAACUGGUCUCCAGCAUUAUACCGGCUGGUUUUCCCCGCGUGCUCUUAACCGGGUGCGCGGGGUGGCUAGCGCGUUUACUUUGAAAAAAUUAGAGUGCUCAAAACAGGCGUAAGCCUUGAAUACUAGUGCAUGGAAUAAUGGAAUAGGACUUUGGUCCUGUUUUGUUGGUUUUCGGGACACGAAGUAAUGAUUAAGAGGGACAGACGGGGGCAUUCGUAUUGCGACGUUAGAGGUGAAAUUCUUGGAUCGUCGCAAGACGGACAACUGCGAAAGCAUUUGCCAAGAAUGUUUUCAUUAAUCAAGAACGAAAGUUAGAGGUUCGAAGGCGAUCAGAUACCGCCCUAGUUCUAACCGUAAACGAUGCCAACUAGCGAUCCGCUGGCGUUAAUUACGACCCAGCGGGCAGCUUCCCGGAAACGAAAGUCUUCCGGUUCCGGGGGAAGUAUGGUUGCAAAGCUGAAACUUAAAGGAAUUGACGGAAGGGCACCACCAGGAGUGGAGCCUGCGGCUUAAUUUGACUCAACACGGGGAAACUCACCCGGCCCGGACACUGUGAGGAUUGACAGAUUGAGAGCUCUUUCUUGAUUCAGUGGGUGGUGGUGCAUGGCCGUUCUUAGUUGGUGGAGCGAUUUGUCUGGUUAAUUCCGAUAACGAACGAGACUCUAGCCUAUUAAAUAGUAAACGCGUCGACAGCGCGUUGUUACUUCUUAGAGGGACAG
rnacentral:rRNA from 1 species